rnacentral:misc_RNA from 1 species
GAUGAAGAACGUAGCGAAAUGCGAUAAGUAAUGUGAAUUGCAGAAUUCAGUGAAUCCUCGAAUCUUUGAACGCACAUUGCGCCCGCCAGUAUUCUGGCGGGCAUGCCUGUUCGAGCGUCAUUUCAACCAUCAAGCCCCCGGCUUGUGUUGGGGACCUGCGGCUGCCGCAGGCCCUGAAAAGCAGUGGCGGGCUCGCUGUCACACCGAGCGUAGUAGCAUACAUCUCGCUCUGGGCGUGCUGCGGGUUCCGGCCGUUAAACCACCUUCAUAACCCAAGGUUGACCUCGGAUCAGGUAGGAAGACCCGCUGAACUUAAGCAUAUCAAUAAGCGGAGGA